CUUAUACUCCCUCCGUCCGAAAUUAUUUGUCACAUAAAUGAAUAAAAAUGAAUGUAUUUAGAAGUAUAUAUCCAUUCUUAUCACAAGUAUUUCCGGACGGAGGGAGUAUUUA
rfam:Hordeum vulgare subsp. vulgare, WGS project CAJW01000000 data, contig: morex_contig_1589060